GGGGGUAUGGGAGUGUGCUGAAAUUGAGAAUUUACGAUAGUGUAGAGCGUAAUCUCAUUACAUAAACCAUCAUUGAACAUCACCGUCAGUUCAUUCGCGUUAAUCCGUUUCUCCACACAGCGGAAACACUUGUGGCGUUCGUCAGAACGAGGAAACUUAGAUACAUUUCUAUUUUCUCAAGAUGAGGACAACUACAUUAAUUUUAUUGAGCCACUAGAAUAUAUUAAUCUUCCUUCUAGUGUAUAAGCUUCUGUCCAUGUAUCUAUGUCCGACAGUGUGGCGGUGUUGACGACGCAGUUUCCACCACAACGCCAAGAAAAAAAAGAAAGAGAGGAAUAAAGGCGACAGAGCACCAGACUCAGCCUACUUGGUUUUCCAAGACGAAGCUGAAGAAUUAUUCCCAAAGACAUCCACGCGCCUCUGCAGACAUGGAGGCGGCGAGUUUGGCACACGGGGUCGCGAGCCCGGUAAACCCGCGCGAGGGCAUGACCAAGAACGUGAGCCUGGAGUCGCUCCAGCUGUGCGAGAGAGACGGUAAGGCUGAGGAUCCCGGAGUGGUAGGAAUGGAAUUACCUGUUGCUUGCAACAUCAAGAUCAGUAACAUCACAUGUGACUCCUUUAAGAUCUGCUGGGAAAUGGACCCUCAUACCACAGAGAAGAUCACACAUUACUUCAUUGAUCUUAACAAGAAGGAGAACAAGAACUCCAACAAAUUCAAACACAAGGAUGUGCCUACGAAGCUUGUUGCUAAGGCAGUCCCGUUGCCCAUGACAGUGCGAGGCCAUUGGUUCCUGAGUCCACGGACAGAAUACACAGUUGCCGUGCAAAUAGCAUCCAAACAGAUGGAUGGAGACUAUGCUGUAUCAGAAUGGAGUGACAUUGUUGAAUUUUGUACAGCAGAUUAUUCUUCAGUGCAUUUGACACAACUGUUGCAGAAGGCUGAAGUCAUUGCUGGGAGGAUGCUCAAGUUCUCUGUCUUUUACCGAAAUCAGAAUGAGGAAUACUUCCAACACUGCAGGGAUGUUCUUGGCAGUCGAAUGAUGCCCUCGGUAAAGGAUAACAGUGGUAGUCAUGGUUCACCUCUCAGCGGUAAACUGGAGGGGAUCUUCUUCAGCUGCAACACUGAGUUUAACACAGUGAGGCUGUUCGUGGUACUGACCCUUCAAGGUGACAUUCAGCAUGAUAUAUCAGUCACUCUUCUCUGUCAGGACAGCCAUCACAAGAACAUGCCAUCUGAUCUUCUGGACAUCCAGUGGUGGACCGGAGAGCAUCUUGUUGUGUGGUUCCAGCUUGGCAGAAUCAUCCAGGGCAGCAGAUACAUCAGCAGAACACAUCUUUCUGCAGAAGGCCUCAGAAAUGUAGAUUUUUCUCUUUCUAUUACUUGCACAGAGUACAGUGACAGCGGCUGGUACUGAUGUGUGCUGACUAAAGAUGGACACGAAGUGGCACUUGGAGAGGUUGACUUUGAGGUGACAGUCCCCAGAUCUCAAAGUGCGUUAUUUGCGGAGUGAGGACAGAGGGUCGUUUUGUCUUGUUUCGGCUGUGUUGACUGGUCAGGCGCACAGGCUGCAUUUGUUCAGUGGAAAAGAUGGACUCAGGUGGUGUGGAUCCAGUGUUUGAGGGCAGAGUAUCAGUUCCAAAGGAGAGAAUUGUGACAUUUCUCUUAUUUUUAAUGGCACGCUCCCAGGAGAUGAGGGCUAUGUGUGCUUCUUUAAGAAAAAUUAUGACAUCAGACCUCUACAAUUAUUAAUCUUACUAUCACAGGCAGGCUGAAUGUCAACUUUUGAAGUACUACGUGAACCUUUUAUUUCACUUAAAACUUUUAUUUAAUGUAAAACCUAUUAAGUUUAUGAUUUUAUGUGCUUUAUGCACUUAUGUUUUUUUAUAUUUCUAUUUAGCUUUAAAUUAUUUUUUAUUUCAUUUUUAGUAAUUUUAGUACUUAAGCCUAUUUUUAUUAUUUUUUUUUGUAUAGUUUUAGAUUUAUGUAACAAUAAUAAUACUACUUCUCAAUAGCUGUCUAAAGCUUUCACUUUGUCAUGAAAUUAUCUUCAACUGUUAGUUUUUUUUAAAUAUAUUUGUAAUAAUUAGUUGCCUUUUCAUUCUCUCAGAGCAAAUGUCCAGAGUUAACACAACAUCUAAGUAACAGUUUAAACUCCGUCUGCCCAAUGAGUCUCCAGUAACACUGAGGUUUCUGCCAGAUGGUGGGAACUACACUGUAUCUGUAUGUGAGUUAGAGAGACAUCAUUGGACAUGUGCCAUGCAUUACUGUAACUGCACACUGCUACAAAACAACUCUUUCAUCCUAAGAAAUCUCACCUCAGCUGACUCUGGUACAUUCUUUGCAAGGGAAAAAUACACUAGCAGAAAGUUAAACAGAGUCCGUAACAGAGAACAGGAAAGCACAUGGAAAAGGAAUCAGAGAAAGGAUCUGAAAUGCAGCCUCUGCAGUCUAUAAAAGUCAUCACUCAUGAAGACUCUAUCAGCCCCAGUAGAAGUGUUGACAUAUAGCUUGGAGUUUUCUUCUCUCAUAGAUGUAUUUUCUUUAAAUGCAGUGUUUCAUAUUGAAAAAAAAAGAGUUACAGUGAGUCUUAGAAGGUACAUGUACGAUCUGUCAUAGUGCUUUCUACAAUAUUUACCUAAGAUGUAUAAGUAUUAAGUAUACAUUUUUUUAAUAUAUUAAAACAACAAUUUUCUUCACAUGUUGUAUUAAACUGAUGUAUUGAUUCAUUUUUACACUGUUAUUCACCUGCUGUUUUAUUUGCUUAUUUAUCUUGAAAUAUUACAUUUAAAAACAUCAGUAAAAUCAGCGUUGUAUUGCAGCACAUACAAUGUGACUCUCUACCAUUGUAGCAUUCUUCAUU